UACGGGGGGGGCAAGCGUUGUUCGGAAUUACUGGGCGUAAAGGGCGCGUAGGCGGCCUGCUAAGUCGGAUGUGAAAUCCCUCGGCUCAACCGGGGAACUGCAUCCGAUACUGGCGGGCUUGAAUCCGGGAGAGGGAUGUGGAAUUCCAGGUGUAGCGGUGAAAUGCGUAGAUAUCUGGAGGAACACCGGUGGCGAAGGCGGCAUCCUGGACCGGUAUUGACGCUGAGGCGCGAAAGCCAGGGGAGCAAACGGG
rnacentral:rRNA from 1 species